rnacentral:misc_RNA from 1 species
GAUGAAGAACGUAGUGAAAUGAGAUAAGUAAUGUGAAUUGCAGAAUUCAGUGAAUCAUCGAAUCUUUGAACGCACAUUGCGCCCGCUAGUAUUCUGGCGGGCAUGCCUGUCUGAGCGUCAUUUCAACCCUCGCCCCCGGCUUUUGCUGGGAGCGGUGUUGGGGAUCGGCCGCCCGUCACUGGGAGGCCGGCCCCGAAAUAGAGUGGCGACCACGCCGUGUGCUCCUCUGCGUAGUAGUAAAUCACCUCGCAGGCGGACAGCGGUGCGGCCUGCCGUAAAACCCCCAACUCUUUCUGGUUGACCUCAGAUCAGGUAGGAAUACCCGCUGAACUUAAGCAUAUCAAUAAGCGGAGGA